GACGAACGCUGGCGGCGUGCUUAACACAUGCAAGUCGAACGGAAAGGCCCUGCUUUUGUGGGGUGCUCGAGUGGCGAACGGGUGAGUAACACGUGAGUAACCUGCCCUUGACUUUGGGAUAACUUCAGGAAACUGGGGCUAAUACCGGAUAGGAGCUCCCGCUGCAUGGUGGGGGUUGGAAAGUUUCGGCGGUUGGGGAUGGACUCGCGGCUUAUCAGCUUGUUGGUGGGGUAGUGGCUUACCAAGGCUUUGACGGGUAGCCGGCCUGAGAGGGUGACCGGCCACGUUAGGACUGAGAUGCGACACAGACUCCUACGGGAGGCAGCAGUGGAGAAUAUUACACAAGGGGCGGAAGCCUGAUGCAGCAACGCCGCGUGCGGGAUGACGGCCUUCGGGUUGUAAACCGCUGUCGCCUGUGACGAAGCGUGAGUGACGGUAAUGGGUGAAGAAGCACCGGCUAACUACGUG
rnacentral:rRNA from 1 species